CACUGUUGUUAUCACUGUUGCAAGGGCUGCAGCUGGGAACAUUUUGUUGGUUUGGUGUCCCAGGGGCCUUGCUGCAUAAUGCCUUAUGCACUGUCCUGUUCCAUCCUGCCUUGCCAGAGAGUGGCAGUGCUGAACUACCCUGAAGCUGUGGGAAUAUGUCCCUGAUACAGCCGUGUCCAGAAUGGUCACACCAGCAUGGAAGAGGAGGAUGAGCUUUGGUGAAGCUGCACCUUGAGUUCUGUGUUCAGUUCUGGGCUACUCACUGCAAGAAAGACAUCGAGGCUUUGGAGCGUGUUUGUAGAAGGGCAUUGGAGCUGUGAAAGGCCUGGAAUACAAGUCUUAUGAGGAGCAGCUAAGGUAACUGGGAGCAUUCAAUCUGGAGAAGAGGAGACUUGGGAGACCUUACUGCUCUCUGCCCCUCCCUGAAAGGAUUUGGUGGUGAGGUGGGGCUCAGCCUCUUCUCCUGCAUUAGUAGUGAUAGGACUAGAGGGAAUGGCCUU